AGAAACGCAAUGUGUUGCUGUGGCUGCCAGCUCCUGGACUUAUCCUCUCUUUUCUUUCUCCCCGAGUGCUGUAAAAUACGCCGCGAAUUCAGCACCACCAAUGGAUUCUUUUUCCUUAAGGUGUGGAUUUUUUGAAAUGAGAAAAUGGAACCGAGGGAGCUUGUGAAAGAGGAGAUCCUUGAGACAAAGCGCAGUGCCAGCCAGAAGCUCAGCCUCGGAUACCUGCACGUGGCCGUCAGACAGAAGAUGGGCAUGAAGACGAGAGCAGAGACAGACCCUACAUUGCACCAAGGCCACGUCAGCUAUGCAGGAGACAGUGGACCUGCAAAUGCAACAAGAAACAGGAAGCUCUUCUUUAACGUCCAUUGUUGCCUUCGUCCUCCCAGCGGCUUCUCCUGCAAGAAGAUGUGGAUGAAGAUCAAGUGAGCACCAGGCUGCCGCCAUAUGUGCAGGAACACCUGCAGAAUAAAAAGUCCUGUUCACCAGAGAUGUACCGCUCCUCUUUGCACCCCGGGAAGCAGGCUGGAGGGGAUUGGGCUCUGGGUGUUGCACCCCACCUGAGGGAGAAUGUACGCACUUCCAGAGGGCAGCCCCCAGCCAAGCAGCACCACCCUGGGAAGCCUCAGCUUCAGCCAAGAGCUGGGGGACAAACGGGCUCAAGUGCUGAGCAGAGCCCAGGGAACAGAGAACUGGCUUGGGAGCACUGGGGGGUUCCACCACCUGCCAGGAAGCACCCACACUGCGCUUACCAGAACAGAGAGCUUCACGCUGUUGGGCAGCUUCUGGCAUUUCUUGCUCACAACCUCCAGCAGAAGCCAGCUGCAUCACUGCACCUUCCCUGCCGGUGGAGGAGGGCAGGCAAGGUGCA
ensembl:lncRNA